GCAAGUCGAGCGGCAGCGGGUCCUUCGGGAUGCCGGCGAGCGGCGGACGGGUGAGUAAUGCCUAGGAAUCUGCCUGGUAGUGGGGGAUAACUCGGGGAAACUCGAGCUAAUACCGCAUACGUCCUACGGGAGAAAGCAGGGGAUCUUCGGGCCUUGCGCUAUCGGAUGAGCCUAUGUCGGAUUAGCUGGUUGGUGAGGUAAUGGCUCACCAAGGCGACGAUCCGUAGCUGGUCUGAGAGGAUGAUCAGCCACAUCGGGACUGAGACACGGCCCGAACUCCUACGGGAGGCAGCAGUGGGGAAUAUUGGACAAUGGGCGCAAGCCUGAUCCAGCCAUGCCGCGUGUGUGAAGAAGGCCCUCGGGUUGUAAAGCACUUUCAGUGGGGAAGAAAUCCUCGGGGCUAAUACCCUCGAGGGAGGACAUCACCCACAGAAGAAGCACCGGCUAACUCCGUGCCAGCAGCCGCGGUAAUACGGAGGGUGCGAGCGUUAAUCGGAAUUACUGGGCGUAAAGCGCGCGUAGGCGGCCUGAUAAGCCGGUUGUGAAAGCCCCGGGCUCAACCUGGGAACGGCAUCCGGAACUGUCAGGCUAGAGUGCAGGAGAGGAAGGUAGAAUUCCCGGUGUAGCGGUGAAAUGCGUAGAGAUCGGGAGGAAUACCAGUGGCGAAGGCGGCCUUCUGGACUGACACUGACGCUGAGGUGCGAAAGCGUGGGUAGCAAACAGGAUUAGAUACCCUGGUAGUCCACGCCGUAAACGAUGUCGACUAGCCGUUGGGGUCCUUGAGACCUUUGUGGCGCAGUUAACGCGAUAAGUCGACCGCCUGGGGAGUACGGCCGCAAGGUUACAACUCAAAUGAAUUGACGGAA
rnacentral:rRNA from 1 species